rnacentral:rRNA from 1 species
UUCCGGUUGAUCCUGCCGGACCUGACUGCUAUCGGAUUGAUACUAAGCCAUGCGAGUCUUUGUAGUAAUACAAGGCAGACGGCUCAGUAACGCGUAGUCAACCUACCCUAUGGACGGGAAUAAUCUCGGGAAACUGAGCAUAAUACCCGGCGUACCACCAUUCCUGGAAUGGUUGGUGGUUAAAAUGAUUCGUCGCCGUAGGAUGGGACUGCGACCUAUCAGCUUGUUGGUGGGGUAAAGGCCCACCAAGGCGAUUACAGGUACGGGCUCUGAGAGGAGAAGCCUGGAGAUGGGUACUGAGACACGGACCCAGGCCCUAUGGGGCGCAGCAGGCGAGAAAACUUUGCAAUAUGCGAAAGCACGACAAGGUUAAUCCGAGUGAUUUCUGCUAAAGGAAUCUUUUGCCAGUUCUAAAAAUACUAGUGAAUAAGGGGUGGGCAAGUUCUGGUGUCAGCCGCCGCGGUAAAACCAGCACCUCAAGUGGUCAGGAGGAUUAUUGGGCCUAAAGCAUCCGUAGCCUGUUCUAUAAGUUUGCGGUUAAAUCUAUACGCUCAACGUAUAGGCUGCCGUAAAUACUGUAGAACUAGGGAGUGGGAGAGGUAGACGGUACUCGAUAGGAAGGGGUAAAAUCCUUUGAUCUAUUGAUGACCACCUGUGGCGAAGGCGGUCUACCAGAACACGUUCGACGGUGAGGGAUGAAAGCUGGGGGAGCAAACCGGAUUAGAUACCCGGGUAGUCCCAGCUGUAAACGAUGCAGACUCGAUGAUGCAAUGGCAUAGAGCUAUUGCAGUAUCGCAGGGAAGCCGUUAAGUCUGCCGCCUGGAAGUACGUACGCAAGUAUGAAACUUAAAGGAAUUGGCGGGGGAGCACCACAAGGGGUGAAGCCUGCGGUUCAAAUUGGAGUCAACGCCGG